AUGUCAUGUUAGCCAUAGAUGCCCCAGUGCGGAGGUGUGAGAGGUUAGCCAUGGAUGGUUUCAGAAGAGGUAGGGGUAGGCCAAAGAAAUAUUGGGGAGAGGUGAUUAGACAGGACAUGACGCAGUUACAGCUUACCGAGGACAUGACCUUAGAUAGGAAGGUGUGGAGGACCCACAUUAGGGUAGAAGGCUAGUAUAUAAGUCUCGUUAUCUUUUCUUAUUAGUAGGCGCAUUAGCGCAUUAUAAUUUCUUGUGCUCUGAUUUAUGUUAUUAUUUGCUACUUUCUGUACUUUGAUUACUCUAUUUUAUCUGUGCCGCUUUCGUUAUUUGCAUUUCCAUAUCGCUUUGAAUUCCUUGAUUAUCCUGUUUUACUGUGUCGCUUGCAUUAUUUCAUUGCAAUAUCGUUUUGAAUCUUUUAACCUUAUCUGACUCCCUUUUUAUGCUUCUAUUGAGCCGAGGGUCUCUCGAAAACAGCCACCCUACCUUGGUAGGAGUAAGGUCUGCGUACAUUCUACCCUCCCCAGACCCCAAGAUGUGGGAUUUCACUGGGUUGUUGUUGUUGUUGUUGUUGUUGUCAUGUUAAAUCCAUCCGGCUCAGGUGCCUUAUCCCCUCAAACAAGGUUUCCUUCAUUUCAUCUUGCCUUUCAUUGGAAAGCAUGGCUAACAAUUCCCAAUCCACUGAGGUCUCCUCUCUUCAAGCCAAUUACGGUACUGUCCAACUUGACUAACCAUGUCAAAGACCAAGUAAUUUUCAGCGACUUUGACACACCACAGCAGCAACGGACUCUUAAGAUCUAGGGAUUCGAUUCCACCCAUUCUCAACCACCUCCGCCCUUUUUGACUGGGUGAUUGGGCACGUCCAGUGACUAUAAAUAGAACCCUACAUCAAUUUCAAAAGAUAUCUCCUGUGAUAUGGUCUAUCUCAUCUGCGCAAUCUCUUUUCACUGGAACUCUCGCUCAGCAGCCUCCUCUUUUCCAUCGACAUACUUCAAAAGCUUAGCUCAAUUACCUUUGUUCUUUGCUUUUCCACUAUGCCAUCAACCAUGUAUUUACCAAAAAUUAGGAAUGCCCCGGUGAAUAUGACUUUUACUGCUUCCUGCAGUAAAGAAAUGGAUCUUGGACCUAACUCCACACCAAAGGCUAGCUAAUAAGGUCAAAGAUGCUUAUAGAAGGAAGGUAUGGGACACUCAUCCUGAUUGCUUUCCAGUUCAUCUCAAACCUAAUGCAGAACUCAAAUUUAAAAUGAUUUCAGAAGCUUACACUUGCCUGCUUUCGGAAAUUACAGGUGCAAGACAAGGUCGACAUGUAGGAGUUGGAUAUUCGCGUGUUGUAAGAAGUGGAGUUCCUAGAGGAGGGGGAGGAGGGAGGAGAAACCAUGCACUGAUUGGGCUUCCCUUUCUUUGUAUUAUUUUGGGAACUGCAGCAUUGGGAGGAACAAAUGUUGCCAGUUGCCGACUUCCAAACAAACCCAUCUCUCAGUUUGCUCGCUUCCAGAAAAUACUCGGAGUUUUUUUCACCCCUUCAACUGGUUUUGCAAGUUCAGACGAUGAAAAAAGUAACUUUUUGGUUCUCAUCUCCUGUCUUUCGCCCAUUUCCAUCUUUGGACCUAUUAGUGGAGGGCAUAAGUAUUCACAAGCUAUUGCUCUGUACACACAAGUGAUUAAGUUGAACAGUGAGAAUGUGGUGUACUGGGCUAAUAGUGUGUUUGCUCACAUCAAAUUGAAGGAAUAUUGCAGCGUAAUAGAGGACGGAGCUAAAGCUAUUGAAAUUGUCCCCAGAUAUUCAAAGGGUUAUUAUAGGCGAGAGGCUGCAUAUUUGGCAAUGGGAAGUUCAAAGAUGCAUUCAAGAAUUUUCAACAGGUUGGUAUUGUUUUUUGAACAUGUUAAGUUGUAUCAGCUGCAUAUUGCUGGUGAUAAUCAAAUUGUUCUUAUUUUUUUAUUUUAAAGUUUUACUACAAAAUAUAUCAUGAGAAGAACAUUGCUUAUGUAACUAGCUACCACAUUUAGAAGAGAAGAUAAUGCCAUACCAGUGACAUUGUUCGUGCAUUAUGUUAUUUGUGACCUUUAAGAUUCCUUGUCAAUUCUAUGCUCCAGCAACUUCCAUAUGUGAAAUACUAAUAACAUUUUGACAUCAAAUUUAAGUUCAAUGACAUUUAGUUGUAGCAGAUUAAGGUAGAAGAUGACCAAUCCCACCCUUGAACAUCUGAAGAAUAUUUUAGGUAGAAUUGGCAUAAUUAUUAUUCUUUUCUAUUUUCAUUUGCAGAAAGAAGUCAUAUGGUUGAUUCUGGUUAGUUGUCAGAGCAGGUCAUAUUUGUGGAACUUUUAGUUGCAUUAGUUGCAAAUCAGUAAACUUGAAUGAAAAACUUUUUGUUGUCCUUGACUCAACCUACAAGCUCCUAAGUCACAUAGAAUAUUAAGAAAGUGAACUUGCAUUUGUUUCUAAUUUUUCUACUAUUAUAGAAACAUGAGUUUCAGAGUAGAUCGUAACACUUCAUGAUGAAUGGAUAUGUGAAUCUUGAAACUUUUUACGUUUCAAUGAGCUUGGUGUGAUUAAAAGACAAAGUUGUUUUAUAUUAUCUGUUAGUUAUUAACAAUCAAAAAGAAUAUAUGUUGGUUAUUCCAAAAAGGCUUAUAAUUGUCCUGAUUCAAUUAGUGCUUUUUUCUUCUUGGAAGGAUAAUGCAAAACAUUAUUUUUCCUUUUAGAUGAUUUUUCGCUUUUAAUAGCUUAUGUAUAUACCAAUGAGCCAUUUCAUAUGUGAUUUCUAUGGCAUUAAUUCGUAUAGUAGAUAUCCAUGUUCAACUUAAAGUUUAUCUGGAAGAUAAGGUUGUGGUGCUCAUUAAUCUUUACUUCUACGCUUGAUUUUUCUUUUUCUCAUGCGAAAUAUAUUCUAUUGAGAAAAUAUGCAUAAUUAGAAACCUGAAGCUUUGGUGGAAUGGAGAAAUGCCCAACUUUGAUGGGAUGGAAAAGGAAUAAGCGGAGUGGAAUUUCUAGCUUUCUGGAAUGAGGCUUGGACUGCUCAGUUGUCAAUUGAAUUCCAUGUUCUUUGUUGGUAAAAAGGCAUAUACCAUUCAAGAUUAAAUGUAUGCCAUGGGAGGGAAAUGAUGAUUGUCCUACUAUUACUGCUCUUGCUGCUUUUGGGCUAUAUUCCACACUGCCAAUAUGCUAAAAGCUCUAGAGCUUUGACCUACAGUCGAGGUGAAAGCACAGCAGUUACAAAAACGAGAUACAGGGACCGAGUGGAAGAGUUAAAAUCUAUAGGUCUGUCCAACAACAUCUAUGUAGUUGAAGUGCAGGGACUUCAUACAGGCCAUCUAAACUGCCACCAACCCACUUCAGCUAUAAGCAUACAGGAAUCAAGUGAUUGAUUGUGGUCAAAAGGCAAGUCCAAAGGUUAGUGGCGUAUCGACUUAACGUAUCAUAUGCUUGAAAGGUCCAAACUUCUAAUCUGAAAUCCUGAUGUACGCAAAUAAUUCCUGCUAAAAUCCAUCCUGUCAUUAUUAUGUGCAUGAAGGUUUGGGAAAAAAAAUAUGCUAAACAUGUUUUCUUCCAACUAGAAGCAUGCCAAACUGCGCAAUUGUUUGGCAUGAUGAUCUUACAGAGAAUUUACACCUUCGAACCUGCAAAGCUCCUCUUUCUUCGAUUUAUCUAGGAAUGAUCUUGGAUUACAGGAAAACUGAAGCUAUUGAAAGCAAGAAGAGUGAUGUUAUAGGUGGUAUGUAGCAAUCCAGCUAUUAGAAUAGGCUAUAUUCGACGGGAAGUAGAAAGAGUAAAAUAUGUUGGUUUUCUAUGAAUGGUUUAUGAAGAAGUAAUUGGUCAUUUUACCAUUAAUUGUGAAAGACCAAAGUAUUAACUUACAUUGUGCUGGUGUAUCAUGUCAAAGCAUUUCAUGCAUCUUAUGUAUAUGACUUUUCAUUAUUUAUUUUCACUGGAAAUUCGAAUAAAAAGUAUAUUGUUAGUACUAUGCUUUGUUGUCGAAUGGCAUAACUUCCCUUUUGGAUCGUCAA